AUUACAUGUGAUGGGCUUAGAGAAAGCCCAAUUUAUGCAGCGAAAAUUCUCUCUGGCUCUCUCAAAGGCGCCGUUCCUUCGCAAUCCAAGAACUGCAAAAAUUUUUCUAACCCCAAAUCAAUGGAACACGAAGAAGAAGAAACCAAAAAAUGGGCAUGCAGAAGAUGCGGCCACGUCGGCCUAGAUGAAUCCGACGGCUUCUUUUACUGCCAGGAGUGCGGUGCCCAGGCCGACGACAUCAUCUUGACCGGCGUCGCCGACGAGGACUUCAUCGACAAGGCCGGCGACGGUGGUGCCCUCUACAGCGCCCGCUACACCCGCCAUUCCCAGCGCACCAGCACCAUCAAAGCCGACCCAUCUUCCCAAGCCUGGUUCCGCUACACCCAAGAGGAAGACGAUAUAAACGCUACAAACGUCAAGGUCAAGAGAGAGGAGCACGAUGAUUACUAUUAUAGCAAUCAGUAUAUGGACGGGUUGGGACCCAUGGAGCCUGAGGAUUUCGGGUCGGGUGCGAUCAGGAAGUUGAGCUACGAGGAUUAUUACAACGAGGUGAGGAUUAGGUAUGUGAUGGGGAUGCAGUGGAUGAUUCAGUUGCAGUGUGAGGCUCUGGUCGACAAGUUUAAUGCGAGCCCUUUGAUCUGUGGGGUGGCUGGGACUGUGUGGUUAAGGUACUUGGCUGGAACUGGGGUUUUUAAGGAUGCCUGGGCCGAUGAAGUGUUGCUGGAAUCCGAGACAAAAACACUAGGUGAAGAAACUACCCAACAUUGUACUUGUUUCUGCUCAUUGCUUUCAUGUUUUUUCAUGCUAUUGGGGUUGCCUAUGGAUUGUUAAAUACACAAUCUUUCUACGCUGUUGGUCUUAGAAGAAUCAUAUGGUUGCAGUGGUAAAAUCGCUAAUGACAUAUUUUAAAAUUUUUAUUAUUUCAAGCACUUGUCAUGAUAGUGAAUUGUCAUUCCAUGUAUGUACUUUUGUUGGAUGCUUUGCUGAUUUGAGUAUUCAGAAAUCUUGUUUAUUGCCUUUUCUACUACGCCCAGAGUUUUUAUGUAUACCUUACUGAGUUACUGUAUUGUGUGUGUUGGACAGACAUUUUUAUGUGCUUAAAUGUUAGGUUCCUGCUCUCCCAUACUUGUUUACAUAUUAAAGUCUUCCGCAUUUUAAGUUUUUGGCCUCUGACUUCUAGGAAAACCAGAACACUCGAAAAUUCAUUCCCGUCACAGAAAUGAACCUCACAAUACAUAUGGUCAGCGUGCAGUGAUGAUAUGGUUUAAGCAUUUGAGGAAGAAAAUACCAUUAUAUUGUUCACUGGCUAUUUCAUUUUUGGCUUGUCAUGUUGCUAGGGAAGCAAUUUUGCCAACAGACAUAAUGAAGUGGUCAAUUGAAGGAAAGCUUCCAUAUUUUGUUGCUCAUGUUGAAAUUGAAAAGCGCCUUGAGCGUUCUUCACCAGCUUGUCCCAUCAGUUCAACCUUAAUGUUUAGGCCUUCUCAAACAGUUCCGAUACAGAAGUUGGAAUCAAUGGCAGCGACCAUUGCUGAGUCCAUAGGCUUGCAUUUACCUCCAGUGAACUUCUAUGAAAUAGCUUCUUGCUAUCUCAAGAAGCUCUCUCUUCCAGUCGAUAAGAUUCUUCCACAGGCAUGCCGCAUAUAUGAGUGGUCAAUGCCCCCAGAUUUAUGGUUAUCAACAAAUGAGCUGAGGCUUCCUACAGGUGUCUGUGUAAUGUCAAUACUGAUUGUAACUAUAAGAAUUCUGUAUAACUUGAAUGGUUUUGGAGCAUGGGAAAGAAGUUUGUCUAGUAGCAAUUGCUCUACUUCCAGUUCUCAUUAUGGAGGUAGAUUAGACUCCACAUUUAGUUCUGAAAUACAGGAAGAUGCUGAAAAAGUUUCUGGUUGUCCCCUGCACAUGGUGAAUAAUUCGGGUGAAAAAAUCAUGAGAAAUCCAUCAUGCCUUCAGAAGUCUGAGUUGGAUUCUGCAGAGCUGUUGCACCACCUAGAAGCAUCAUAUGAUGAGAUUGGUGAUACCUAUGAAUUUACAAAGGAUUUACCAUCAUAUCUCCAAUACUGUAAGGAUGUGGUAUUUGCUGGAGCAGGACCAUCACAUAUGGAUCAUCUUGAGGAAGAGAAGUUAAUAGAAAAGUUAUGGGAUUUCUAUCAGAAUGAAAAGGAUUCUGAGCUGGCAGAAGAGCAUGAGGUCCAAAGUAGUAGUGGCUUUAACCAGAAGAGAUCAAGGAAUGAUGAUGAAAGUGUCAAAAGUCAGUCAGAAAAGAAGAAAAUUAGAGAAGGAUGGUAUGAUUGUCCAUCUGCUGAUACCAGCACUGUCGAUGCUGAUGGUAGUCCACAGCAGAGUCAUGAUAAUGAUCGUUUCUCCAAUAAUUCAGAGGGAGGUCAAAAUCUGGAACGCAGAAGUGAAAAUUCAGAAGAGACACUCAAAGACACGGCCAUUAAACGGUUGAAAUUAGACAUGGAGGAGAAUAGGUUCUAUUACAUUCCACCAAGAGUCAACCUCAGGAGAUUUGAUUACCUUCAUUAUGCAAGGAAGAAAGAUGAUGGUGCCUUUACGUAUGUUGCCCAUGCAGAUUAUUACAUUUUGCUUCGCUCUUGUGCUAGGGUGACUCAGGUUGAUAUCCGAAUUAUGCAUAUUGGGGUAUUGAGUUUUGAGAGGAGACUGGCUUGGUUGGAAAAAAGAAUUGACCACUGUUUGCAUUUGACGCCUUCUAGCAUUACUUGCGAGUUCUGCAGAGACGUGCCUGAUCAUUCUAAGGAUGAUCUAACUGGACUUUCAAAUUUGAAUUUGUGAACUGCAUCAUUCAUCGUCAUCAUAAUUAUCAUCUUUUUUUGGCUGAGGCCCUUGAUACUGCGUUGUGUGUGCCCUACUGCUAUUUUCGGUCAAAGAAAGGUUCACACACACAACAAAAACAUGUCUUUUACAAGGUUUGUUAGAUGUUAAUAUGUAUAGUGGUUCUGGAUAACUUUCACAUCCCUAGUUGUCUAUGGAUUUAUGUGAAGGUGAGGCUUCCGUGGAGGUGAAUGAACGGAACUGUUUUGCAUAGCUGGUUAAUUUGACUCCAAAGUUGGUUCCCAGGGCUUUCUAUAAAUGUUGUAUCCCUAUGCUAUUAUAAACAGUGAAUAUGCAAUCUCGAUGGUAUUACCAUCUCACAGAAAUGGUAAAGG
rnacentral:misc_RNA from 1 species